rnacentral:tRNA from 1 species
GCCCCUAUAGCUCAAUUGAAGAGCUCCGGUCUGGAAAGCCAAAGGCCAGUGGUUCAAUCCUCGUGUGGGACA